CAGCUGCAACAUGAGCCCUAAAACACUUCCUGAAUGCAUACAUGGGCAGAGCUGUGAUGUCACCUGGCUCCUCCUGGACACAAGGAAGUGCGAGACAUGCUGAUAUAAUGGAGGAAGAUGAAGAUACAAAUCAGACAGGGGAAACCAGGCCAAGACCAUCAGAGGAGAAAAGUAACGGUGACACAGCAAAGAAGGAUGAAUCACAGUUUGCUCCUGAAAUAAAGGCGGAGAGUGCACCCCAAGUCCAACUGGGGGACCGAAAAGUGGAUGACAUGAGAUUUAUGAUUAGCUGCACCAACUGGUAUUGACCAAGGACGUUCAACGCAACGAGUAAGGAACGGUCAGAAGAUUUGGUCUGGGUCAAGUUCAUGAUCCAUGUAAAUAUCUAUCAUGGACCCCAGUUGUGCCCCUUCUGUUUCUAAUGUGUCAUGUGUCCUCCGUGGACAUCUCCUGUACAACCAUACAUACAAGAUCAUAAAGUAGAGAUAUAUGGACAA